ACAAAGCUCUUCAAUCAAAUCAAAACUUCCACAAGAAGGUGCCUCAAGAGAGAUAAUCAUAACAUUCAUUUUUCAGGCUUCUGCAGAUACACUACUGAAGAAAUGAUGAAGGGUGGUGAUCAACACUAACACGUUUCACAAGUUAUAUACUGCCUGAUGAAAUGACUGCUUGUGGCCAACUGGUCUUAGUGUCUGCUGCAUGCACUACAGCUCAUCCUGCAGUCAUCAUCCUCUCUUUCUGAGCAGGAACAUGCUGGAAGCUGCAGGAGUCAAGGCUGACAACACAGAGACGGUGUAACUCUUCAAAAUGCAUCUUACAUGGUUCCACCUGGAGCAUCCUCCUCUCAGUAACAUCUGCUGCACUCCCAAAUGGAUCCCCAUGUGCACAGUGUGCAUCCACCUAGGAGAACAUAAGGCACUGGUGACUGGCAGAAUUCCUGCAGGCUCAAACACUGAAAAUUACUUCACAAGAUGCAUGUGUGACAAUUUCUGUACUUGCUAUGUCAUGUUUCUAAAUACAAAAAAAAACCCCAAAGCCAAAACCAAACCAAACAAAACAAAACAAAA